rnacentral:sRNA from 1 species
AAACGAAAAUGUAAAAUACAUGGUACUGAUAGCGAAAUAUUAUGAAACCCUAAUACUCAAAACGACACAAUAUUGGGACGGAUUAAGAACGGUACUCGACCCAGGU